ensembl:lncRNA
GUGAGAAAAUUACCCAGGAAUAAUGACUCUCACUUCUCACAGCCUCUUAUUAAUAAUGUGCCUUUAGAUGAUUCUUAUGCUAUGCAAUCAUUCUUUCUUUCAUGCAGUCAUCCAUCCACCCAUUGAUUCUACAAAUACUUAUUUAGCACCUACUAAGUAAUAGACAUUGGAGAUACCAAGACAAAAAAGAUGUACUCUCUUUCCUCCAGGGCAGCGAGGACUGUUCACUUAUAGAGCUUUUGCAGCUUGUAAUUAUAUGUAGUUGUGGAAUUCUUUGUUUAAUCUCUCUCUUCCCCACUAUGUCAAUUUUAAAAGGGCAGGAAUUUUUUUGUUCACUCUUGUAUCCUUGCACCUGGCAGGGUUCUGGCACUCCGUGGGCACUUAACACGUAUUUGGUGAACAACUGAUGAAUAGAGGGCUUUCAGUCUAUUCAAAACUUAGAAUUGUCUUUCUCCUGUUUUUAUUUAACCCUUAUUAUAUCCUACCGCAGAAAAGGAGAUCUUUAUAGGAGAAUCAGGCAAUAAUACAUUUUGAAAACUAGGUGAUUAAUGUUCCACAGUGUUUGAAAAUUGCAGGCUCUGUGACAAGUGCCUGAGCUAACAGAACCUGGUAACCAAGAACCCGCCCUGUAAUGUAGAUCCUCCAUGUCUAGGGACCCUUCCUUUCCUGGUAGCUCUCCAAUUAAAACUGCUCAGGAGAGAGAGUGCAUAAAAUGCAGCUGAUUCAUUAUUCAUCUGAGGAAAUUGAUUGUGGAAUGCAGAAGUGGAUGUGAGGAAUGACCAUCUCUACACUGGCAGGAUGAGGAGCUUGCUGAAAACCGACGUUGUAGUUGCUGGCUGGGAUCACAGCUCUACAAUUAUUUCUAACGGUAUGCAGUUUUUCUAAAAGGAUUCAAGCAAGGUCAGCAUGAUAGGCAUUUGUCUGAUGGCCUCUGGGCCUAAUGGGCAUUUUUGUUUACUUCAAGAAGGGAAAAGAGAGGAGGGGAUGAAGACCUGGGAUCUACAAUCCAGAAAAGUUCUACUAUUGGCUCUCACUACAGAUGUUUCUGAAUGUUUCCAUCCAUGAAGGAAAUGGCUAAUAAAAUGUACACAAACUCAGCAUUCAGCUCUUAAUAGGUUUAUUUCUACUAUUAUUAAACGCUUCUUAAGAGUCAUCAGAGUGUUGAAGGAGUAGAUGUGCCCUUGUUAACAAUCCAAAUGAGUAUGGAAACCCGAAAGGAGAAGAAGGAUGGGAACGAACCCGGACAGACAUGGUCAACGAUAAAAGCCAUAACGCCUUCUCUAGCACAGUCUUUCCAAAGCUCUGGCACAUUUGUGAAAAUGGGAUAGACGUUCUAUGAGAGUUAGGGAGGACAUUGGUUAAAGAUGAUAAACACACAAGUAGAAGCCUUUCACUCACUCCGAACACUUAAGAACUUCUGGAUAAAAUAUAAUCAAAAUGUUUUUAAUAUAUAACUAAGCAUGAAGUCAAGAAAGGAAAAUUGCCAAGUUGCAGAAGCAAAGCGAGAACUCAACGUCAGAGGUGAAUAGGAGCUGUACUGUGCACGUGGUGAGAUCUAAACUCAUGUUGUCUACAGAACGUGAGACCCAAGCUGUGAUACUAAUAUUAAAAACUUGUCUCAACCUUGAUAUAAAAAUACGAGUUCAUUGAGAGAUAGUUAAAAAGGCCCCUAAGUAAAAAAUAAAUCAUGUUUGAGGAUAAGAAGACCCAACAGCAUGAAGAUCAAUUUUCCCCAAGUUUAUCUGUAGUCUCAAUCAAAAUUUCAGUGGGAAAAUUUUGUGGAUAUUCUGCAGAAAAAUCCCAGCUGCUCAUAAAAUGUCUAUGGAAGGGCAAAGGGCCAGAAAGAGGAGAGAGAAUCCUGAAGAGGGAGAAGCAGAAGGAGGAGGAUGGGGACCUGCCCCACCAGAUACCAAGAACUUACUGUGAAACCCCAGCAAUUAGACAGAGGGGAGGGGAGAACUGACGGGGAGAGAGAUGAAGAGACCGUUCCAGUGGAUGGCAGAGAGCCUGGAAAUCAACUCACGGUAUGAAAAAAACUUGCUUCAUAACAGAGCAGUAAAGAAAGGAAUAUGGUAAUCAAAAAUGGACCUG